rnacentral:rRNA from 1 species
UACGAGGGGGCUAGCGUUGCUCGGAAUCACUGGGCGUAAAGGGUGCGUAGGCGGGUCUUUAAGUCAGGGGUGAAAUCCUGGAGCUCAACUCCAGAACUGCCUUUGAUACUGAGGAUCUUGAGUCCGGGAGAGGUGAGUGGAACUGCGAGUGUAGAGGUGAAAUUCGUAGAUAUUCGCAAGAACACCAGUGGCGAAGGCGGCUCACUGGCCCGGUACUGACGCUGAGGCACGAAAGCGUGGGGAGCAAACAGG